rnacentral:rRNA from 4 species
AACUUUCAACAACGGAUCUCUUGGUUCCGGCAUCGAUGAAGAACGCAGCGAAAUGCGAUAAGUAAUGUGAAUUGCAGAAUUCCGUGAAUCAUCGAAUCUUUGAACGCACAUUGCGCCCUCUGGUAUUCCGGGGGGCAUGCCUGUUCGAGCGUCAUU